rnacentral:rRNA from 1 species
GCUGGAAACGGCUGUUAAUACCGCAUAUGCACACGCUGCCGCAUGGCAGAGGGUGGAAAGAUUUAUCGGUGCAGGAUGGGCCCGCGUCGGAUUAACUAGUUGGCAGGGUAACGGCCUACCAAGGUUAUGAUCCGUAGCCGACCUGAGAGGGUGACCGGCCACAUUGGGACUGAGACACGGCCCAAACUCCUACGGGAGGCAGCAGUGGGGGAUAUUGCACAAGGGGCGGAAGCCUGAUGCAGCGACGCCGCGUGA